AGCCCUCCGAUUGAAAAUAGAGUUUAUGGAGGGUGACCUCUGCUCAAUGAUCUAUUUAGGUUAAAUAGCCGCAGUACCCUGACUGUGCUAAGGUAGCAUAAUCAUUUGGCUUUUAAUUGGAGUCUAGGAUGAAAGGGGCCAAUGGAAGAAGACUGUAUCAGGUUUAAUUCUUUGAAGUUGCUUAAUAGGUGAAAAUACCUAUAUAUAUUACACAUAGGACGAGAAGACCCUAAGAGUUUUGUUAAAUUUGCAGGGUGGAUUAGAUUUCAUGAUUCAGGAAAUUGUAAUUUGCCGUUAGCACCGUAGAUUUUGCUGGGGCGGCAGGUCUUCAAAUUGGUCUAAACAAGAUUUGAUAUGAGCUAUACGUGUCUAUUUCUUAAUCAGCUAGGAUAAACUACCUUAGGGAUAACAGCAUUAUUCUUAUGAGAGAUUGUGACCUCGAUGUUGGACUAGGUACCCUGACUACCAGAAGUAAUCAGGGUAUGUUCUGUUCGAACACCCGAUACCU
rnacentral:rRNA from 1 species